AUGGUGGAGGAAUCGUCCGCCAAGCGUCAUCAUGGCGAGCCGUCGGACAAGAGAACCCUCACAGGGGUUGAGCUCCACGGCAAGGAUAUGUUGGAGAUCGUUUGCACCAGCGAACCAAAUAAGGCCGACAAGGUGAUGAGCAGGCUCAGGAUGAAGGGCAGCGGCUUGUAUUCGAGCUUCAUCGGAGCUGAUGUGGAGUUCACCAGGGAGGAUGAACCUCCACAGAUGGUGGCAGUCCUGCAGUUGUGCGUCGAGGAACUCUGCUUGGUGUACCACAUCGCAGCAGCCACAAAAUGGCCCAAGCGCCUCAAACAGUUCCUGCAGGAGGAGAAAUUGUACACAUUUGUCGGUUUCAGCAUUGGAGGUGACAAGUGGAUGCUGAACAAGUCUGGUUUGGAGAUCAAACCCAACAAGUUCAUCAACAUGCAGCGUAAGUGGAAAGAUCCACACACCAGCAAAUACUUCGAGUCAUUGGCCGAUGUUGCAGGCGGCGUCAUCAACCCAUCCUACAAAGGCAUGAAGAAGAAUAUGGACAAGGGAGAACACCAACUGUGGGGGACCAGCCCGCUGCCAGACAACCUCAUCACGUACGCAGGAAUAGAUGCGUACACCACGUACAAGUCAUGGAAGACAAUUGACAACAUCGUGACACGUUGGUAUAUGUCAAAAGAGCAGGACGCUGACCCCUACUACCACUGCAUCUUCACGGGAUGA
rnacentral:rRNA from 1 species